GUCCAUUUAUAGAGAGCUUUGAAUCUUCUUUUGGGUAGGCGUGGCCGAUAAUUUGUGAUGAAAAGGAUGGCUUAGAUGGCAUCUUUCGGCAUCUUUUGUGGCUAAUCAGAGAGGCAUCUUUGGGUGUGGCAGACAGCUUCAAUUGGUAAGGAUUCUUUUGGAUUUUGUUAGAGCACCUUUUAUUGGAAUGUGUAGCCACCUGCACCUUUUAUUGGAAUAUGUAGCUACCCUUGUUUUGUUUUUUGCAUAAAGGGCAUCCUAUGAAUACAGUAGAGUCAUGUGAUACUC
rnacentral:lncRNA from 1 species